AGGACGAACGCUGGCGGCGUGCUUAACACAUGCAAGUCGAGCGGUAAGGCCUUUCGGGGUACACGAGCGGCGAACGGGUGAGUAACACGUGGGUGAUCUGCCCUGCACUCUGGGAUAAGCCUGGGAAACUGGGUCUAAUACCGGAUAUGACCUGCUCUCGCAUGGGGGUGGGUGGAAAGAUUUAUCGGUGCAGGAUGGGCCCGCGGCCUAUCAGCUUGUUGGUGGGGUAAUGGCCUACCAAGGCGACGACGGGUAGCCGACCUGAGAGGGUGACCGGCCACACUGGGACUGAGACACGGCCCAGACUCCUACGGGAGGCAGCAGUGGGAAUAUGGACAAUGGGCGCAAGCCUGAUCCAGCCAUGCCGCGUGAGUGAUGAAGGCCUUAGGGUGUAAAGCUCUUUCAGUAGGAAGAUAAUGACGUACCUACAGAAGAAGCCCGCUAACUUCGUGCCAGCAGCCGC
rnacentral:rRNA from 1 species